rnacentral:rRNA from 1 species
UGCAAGUCGAACGGACUUAACCUAUUCUUAACGAUUAGGAGCGGUUAGUGGCGGACUGGUGAGUAAUGUAUAAGUAACCUGCCUAUCAGAGGGGAACAACAGUUGGAAACGACUGCUAAUACCGCAUAUGCCACGAGAAUCACAUGGUUCAAGUGGGAAAGGAGCAAUCCGCUGAUAGAUGGACUUAUAUCUGAUUAGCUAGUUGGUGGGGUAACGGCCUACCAAGGCGACGAUCAGUAGCCGGACUGAGAGGUUAAACGGCCACAUUGGGACUGAGAUACGGCCCAGACUCCUACGGGAGGCAGCAGUCGGGAAUAUUGCGCAAUGGAGGAAACUCUGACGCAGUGACGCCGCGUGCAGGAAGAAGGUUUUCGGAUUGUAAACUGCUUUAGACAGGGAAGAAAAAAGACAGUACCUGUAGAAUAAGCUCCGGCUAACUACGUGCCAGCAGCCGCGGUAAUACGUAGGGAGCGAGCGUUAUCCGGAUUUAUUGGGUGUAAAGGGUGCGUAGACGGGAAAUUAAGUUAGUUGUGAAAUCCCACGGCUCAACUGUGGAACUGCAACUAAAACUGAUUUUCUUGAGUACUGGAGAGGAAAGUGGAAUUCCUAGUGUAGCGGUGAAAUGCGUAGAUAUUAGGAGGAACACCAGUGGCGAAGGCGACUUUCUGGACAGAAACUGACGUUGAGGCACGAAAGUGUGGGGAGCAAACAGGAUUAGAUACCCUGGUAGUCCACACCGUAAACGAUGGAUACUAGGUGUAGGGUGUGAUAAACACUCUGUGCCGUCGCAA